AUUUAAAAAUAGUCUCCCUUGAAUGACUAUAAAAGUCUAGCCUGCAGAUAUUGAGAAAACAGACACGAGGGUGAGGGUGAUUCAAGUUUGUAAGAGCUUAGGAACGUUUCAGCUCGAACAUUCUAGAUCUAUUCUGUAAUUACAUUACUUAUAGUACACACUGAUUGUUUACUUUCUUUUGGGGAUUUAAAAGAUAGACCUACAUUUUCAGUUGCCUAAGAACAACUUUAAGAACUUUUCAAUAUGGCCAAAAGUAAAUUACAUCGGACAACAGUGUCAAGGCCGAAUUCGAAAUCACUCAACACUUGUGCCAAGACUAGCAAUGUCAGAAGAUGCCUUACAGAUUCUACUUGUGCUCAUCCACGCCGCCACCCCCAGACAAGACUAGUACUCCAGACAAACAGAUCAUCCAGCUGUGUGUCCACGCUUCAGUCUCUGUGGACAGUGGUAGACGUUUCAAACUCUCUCGGAAGCAAGCUGAUCCUUAAAAGACUAACGCAACCAAGCGCAGACUCAGUGGCGUCCCAGGUGUCAGGUCUAUUGAUGAGUUCCAGAAAGUUCAGCUUUUUAAAUUCGGGACCUCACGCAGGAUGCGAAUCAGACACGACGAUUAAUUUCCUGGAGUCCAAUGAAAAAGAGGCGGAUACGUUCUGUGAGAGACUAAACACAGUGUUACCAGAAAGUGACUGUCUUUUUAGUGUCGAUGAGAAUUCUGAGAUGGAAAAUGUCAGUACCAGACUUUUACAAAGACAAGACACUUUGAUUCUAGAAGAUGACACCCAAGACACAAUGUCGGAAAAUAGUUUUUGGUGAAACUUUUCCUUUGGACGUGCGCAGUUUGUGAGUGAAGUCAAAUCUAGUUCCAACUUCACCAGUUAAAAAAACAUUCCGCCUUAUUAAACAGUGCAAUAUUAAUUUAUGGAUGAAAAUGUUAAGAAUGUAAGACAAGUACGAAAUCUUCAAUAAAAAGUAUUUUUGAUGUAAUUUUUGUUUAGAGAUCACAUUGUAUGAAAACAAAUGUAACAAACAAAUAUCUCUUUCUUGGACCAUUGUAACUUGAGCAUUUUGUUUGAUAUUUGCUCUGGAUCUGUCGUUGAGAGUUAAUGCUGCAUUUUGUUUUAGAAAAGUAAAUAUGUAAAUAUAUA
rnacentral:sRNA from 1 species